rnacentral:rRNA from 1 species
UACGGGGGGGGCAAGCGUUGUUCGGAAUUACUGGGCGUAAAGGGCUCGUAGGCGGCCAACUAGUCAGACGUGAAAAUCCCCAGGCUCAACCUGGGAACUGCGUCUGAUACUGGAUGGCUUGAAUCCGGGAGAGGGAUGCAGAAUUCCAGGUGUAGCGGUGAAAUGCGUAGAUAUCUGGAGGAAUACCGGUGGCGAAGGCGGCAUCCUGGACCGGCAUUGACGCUGAGGUGCGAAAGCGUGGGGAGCAAACAGG